rnacentral:rRNA from 1 species
UACGUAGGGUGCGAGCGUUGUCCGGAAUUAUUGGGCGUAAAGAGCUCGUAGGCGGUCUGUCGCGUCGAUCGUGAAAACUUGGGGCUUAACCCUGAGCUUGCAGUCGAUACGGGCAUGACUGGAGUUCGGCAGGGGAGACUGGAAUUCCUGGUGUAGCGGUGAAAUGCGCAGAUAUCAGGAGGAACACCGGUGGCGAAGGCGGGUCUCUGGGCCGAUACUGACGCUGAGGAGCGAAAGCGUGGGGAGCAAACAGG